rnacentral:rRNA from 1 species
UACGUAGGGUGCAAGCGUUGUCCGGAAUUAUUGGGCGUAAAGGGCUCGUAGGCGGUCCAUCGCGUCGGAUGUGAAAGCCCGGGGCUUAACUCCGGGUCUGCAUUCGAUACGGGCAGGCUAGAGUUCGGUAGGGGAGAUCGGAAUUCCUGGUGUAGCGGUGAAAUGCGCAGAUAUCAGGAGGAACACCGGUGGCGAAGGCGGAUCUCUGGGCCGAUACUGACGCUGAGGAGCGAAAGCGUGGGGAGCAAACAGG